CGACUGAAGGAUGGAAAGCGUGACGUAGACCGGCGACAGCUUGCGGCUAUGGCAACAACAACAACCGCAACAACAAGGACAAUAACACUGCACUGAGAGAAAAACAGGAAAGCAACCCCCAAGCGAGAAACUUUUCCCAGCUGGCAAUGCCGUCGUCUCUGCCGAAAGAGAGAGAAAGGUCCUGCAAAGAGAAGGACUUCUACUUCUACUUCAAUCGAAGCCAAGGGUGGCGGGAAACAUAAUCUCACCAUCGAGCAACAGGCUACCCACAUCAAACCCAAAACAAACCCGAACACAGAAGGAUGCCGUUCCCUUCGCCAAGGACAAAAGUUUGCUCAGCUAAUGGCAAGUCAGCGGAGGAGCAGAAAGAGAGAGGUGUCGGUCGAACAAACAAAUGGAAAUCAAAGAUAUUUAUGGAAGUGCAAACGAUGAUGUGAAAACUAUAAUUUGGAAAAGUUUUCCCAGGCUAUAAAUUAUUUCUUAAAUAUUUUAAACAUAGAAAAUUAUGGGGUAAUGGGUAACAUCUUAUAAAUACAAAUAUUAUGCAACA